CCCAGGGAACUGAAACAUCUAAGUACCUGGAGGAAGAGAAAGAAAAAUCGAUUUUCUUAGUAGCGGCGAGCGAAAGGGAAAGAGCCCAAACCGGAAACUUGUUUCCGGGGUUGUGACAUAACAUAAAGUGGAGGCUAUUGUAACUGAAGAGAACUGGAAAGUUCCACCGUAGAAGGUAAUAGUCCUGUAAGUGAAACGAGAAGACCACGAGUUAUGAUCCAGAGUACCACGAGACACGUGAAACCUUGUGGGAAGCAGGGAGGACCACCUCCCAAGGCUAAAUACUACCUGAUGACCGAUAGUGAAGCAGUACCGUGAGGGAAAGGUGAAAAGAAACCCCGGGAGGGGGAGUGAAAUAGAACCUGAAACCGUGUGCCUACAACCGCUCAGAGCCCCUUAUGAGGGUGAUGAGGUGCUUUUUGUAGAACGAGCCAACGAGUUACGGUAUGUAGCAAGGUUAAGUACUUAAGGUACGGAGCCGAAGGGAAACCGAGUCUGAAUAGGGCGACUAGUUGCAUGCCGUAGACCCGAAACCCGGGUGACCUAUCCAUGGCCAGGUUGAAGCGAGGGUAAAACCUCGUGGAGGACCGAACCACGUUGCUGUUGAAAAAAGCAUGGGAUGAGCUGUGGAUAGCGGAGAAAUUCCAAUCGAACCCGGAGAUAGCUGGUUCUCUCCGAAAUAGCUUUAGGGCUAGCGUCGAGUAUGAGUAGUGGAGGUAGAGCACUGAAUGGGCUAGGGGGCAUAGCGCUUACCGAACCUUAUCAAACUCCGAAUGCCACAUACUUUGAGCUCGGCAGUCAGACUACGAAUGAUAAGAUCCGUGGUCAAAAGGGAAACAGCCCAGAUCGUCAGCUAAGGUCCCAAAGUGUAAGUUAAGUGGGAAAGGAUGUGAGAUUUCUUAAGACAACUAGGAUGUUGGCUUAGAAGCAGCCAUUCAUUAAAAGAGUGCCGUAAUAGCUCACUAGUCGAGAGAUCUUGCGCCGAAAAUGUAACGGGGCUAAACUUACCACCGAAGCUACGGGCUUGAACUUAGUUCAAGCGGUAGGAGAGCGUCGUAACCGGGCUGAAGUCGUACCGUAAGGAGCGGUGGACUGGUUACGAGUGAGAAUGUUGGCAUCAGUAGCGAGAUGUGGGUGAGAAUCCCACAGGCCGAAAACCUAAGGUUUCCUCAGGAAGGUUCGUCCGCUGAGGGUUAGUCGGGACCUAAGCCGAGGCCGAAAGGCGUAGGUGAUGGACAACUGGUUGAUAUUCCAGUACCACUACCAUCGUUAUUAUCGAUGGCGUGACGCAGGAGGAUAGUGUGUGCUAGCUAUUGGAUGCUAGUCUAAGCGUUUAGGCAGUGAGAGUAGGCAAAUCCGCUCUCAUAAUGCUGAGGCGUGAUGGGGAAGGUUCUACGGAACCGAAGUACAUGAUUCCACGCUGCCAAGAAAAGCGUCUAGAGAGAGAAGUAGUGCCCGUACCGCAAACCGACACAGGUAGGUGAGGAGAGAAUCCUAAGGCCGGCGGAAGAAUUACAGUUAAGGAACUCGGCAAAUUGACCCCGUAAGUUCGCGAGAAGGGGUGCCUACGAGAGUAGGCCGCAGAGAAUAGGCCCAAGCAACUGUUUAGCAAAAACACAGGUCUCUGCUAAAGCGUAAGCUGAUGUAUAGGGGCUGACGCCUGCCCGGUGCUGGAAGGUUAAGGGGAACACUUAGCGCAAGCGAAGGUGUGAACUUAAGCCCCAGUAAACGGCGGCCGUAACUAUAACGGUCCUAAGGUAGCGAAAUUCCUUGUCAGGUAAGUUCUGACCCGCACGAAUGGCGUAAUGACUUGGGCACUGUCUCAACUGUAAAUCCGGCGAAGUUGUAGUGCGAGUGAAGAUGCUCGCUACCCGCGAUUGGACGGAAAGACCCCGUAGAGCUUUACUGUAGCUUAGCAUUGAGUUUUGGUAUUGUCUGUACAGGAUAGGUGGGAGACUAGGAAACCAGGGCGUCAGCCUUGGUGGAGUCAACCUUGGGAUACCACCCUGACAGUACUGAAAUUCUAACUGGCGGCCAUGAAUCUGGUCACAGGACAUUGUUAGGUGGGCAGUUUGACUGGGGCGGUCGCCUCCUAAAAAGUAACGGAGGCGCCCAAAGGUUCCCUCAGAACGGUCGGAAAUCGUUCGAAGAGUGCAAAGGCAGAAGGGAGCCUGACUGCGACACCCACAAGUGGAGCAGGGACGAAAGUCGGGCUUAGUGAUCCGGUGGUACCUCGUGGGAGGGCCAUCGCUCAACGGAUAAAAGCUACCUCGGGGAUAACAGGCUGAUCUCCCCCAAGAGUCCACAUCGACGGGGAGGUUUGGCACCUCGAUGUCGGCUCGUCGCAUCCUGGGGCUGAAGUAGGUCCCAAGGGUUGGGCUGUUCGCCCAUUAAAGCGGCACGCGAGCUGGGUUCAGAACGUCGUGAGACAGUUCGGUCCCUAUCCGUCGCGGGCGUAGGAAAUUUGAGAGGAGCUGUCCUUAGUACGAGAGGACCGGGAUGGACUGACCUCUGGUGUACCAGUUGUUCCGCCAGGAGCACAGCUGGGUAGCUAAGUCGGGAAUGGAUAAACGCUGAAAGCAUCUAAGCGUGAAGCCAACCUCAAGAUGAGAUUUCCCAUAGCGUAAGCUAGUAAGAUCCCUUGAAGAACACAAGGUUGAUAGGUCGGGGGUGUAAGCAUGGUAACAUGUUCAGCUGACCGAUACUAAUAGAUCGAGGGCUUGACCAA
rnacentral:rRNA from 1 species